rnacentral:tRNA from 1 species
GGGCAUGUAGCUCAGUCGGUUAGAGCGCCGCCCUGAUAAGGCGGAGGUCCCAAGUUCGAAUCUUGGCGUGCCCA